GUGGGGAAUCUUGCGCAAUGGGCGAAAGCCUGACGCAGCCAUGCCGCGUGAAUGAUGAAGGUCUUAGGAUUGUAAAAUCCUUUCACCGGUGAAGAUAAUGACUGUAGCCGGAGAAGAAGCCCCGGCUAACUUCGUGCCAGCAGCCGCGGUAAUACGAAGGGGGCUAGCGUUGCUCGGAUUUACUGGGCGUAAAGGGCGCGUAGGCGGACAUUUAAGUCAGGGGUGAAAUCCCGGGGCUCAACCUCGGAACUGCCUUUGAUACUGGGUGUCUUGAGUAUGAGAGAGGUGUGUGGAACUCCGAGUGUAGAGGUGAAAUUCGUAGAUAUUCGGAAGAACACCAGUGGCGAAGGCGACACACUGGCUCAUUACUGACGCUGAGGCGCGAAAGCGUGGGGAGCAAACAGGAUUAGAAACCCUAGUAGUCC
rnacentral:rRNA from 1 species